rnacentral:lncRNA from 1 species
UUCUGGUGAAAAUUGUCUUGAGCAUUGUCUUGAGUCAGAAGUGUUCUUUGAUGUUUGCAUGCUUAUAAUGAGGAACAGGUCACUUGCUAAGUGUGUAAACUCUCAAGGCUUAUAAGAAGAGGAGUAGCUAAGUUCCUAUUAAUCUUCUAUUUAAGGAAGAUAUUUUAACUGAUGUGUAGGAAGUCAAACUUCACUAAUAUGGCUAUCUGCAGGUUGAUUAAUUUUGGCCAGGAAUUAGAAGUGUCCUUGUGGUUCUGAUUUGCGAUAUCUUCACUGUCCUCCUCAGCCAGAGCAAGAAGAGAUUUCUGUGUACCUUCAUUCAACUCUCGUAGAAAAGUAAGAGGAAGUACUCGAACCUCACAAUGUCUGAGAGCAGAUUUUGGCACCAUCUUCCACUUGUGGCCUCGUUCUCAUAAGAUUAAAGCCUUGCAGUCCAGCGGCGUUUGAGUGACCUGUACAACUUGAGGAGCUCUGAGUACACCAGCUUCUGGAUUUUACCCAAAGAAGAGCUCAGAGGAAACCCAGAGAGGUUUUUGUUAUUGUCAUCAAAUGGACUUGAAAGAAAACAAUUCACUGUGUUUUGAGACAAAACAAACACUUCUUAUUUUUCUUCCUUGAAGGUUGUUCAGAAAGGGGUAUGCGUUGAUCCGACUGACUAGAGCUUUCCCUACAUCUUUAGAGAAGCUGCUUUAAGCAUUGAGGGGCCUCUAUUUUUUUUUCUCCCCAUUUAAAAAUCCAUUCUUUGAAGUGUCAGCAGGUGUUUAAAUUGCAGCCUUUCCAUAAGGAGAACCAUCCUUUGCUGGCCUUGAUUUAUCUGUAGGUUAUUUAUUUAUUCCACAUUGGCAAGGCAAAAAUAAAUAGACUAUCUGAUAGUGGGCUGUUGUAGUU